UAAAUCGUCGAGGGUGAAGAGUA
rnacentral:snRNA from 1 species